GACGUAGGGGGCCAGCGUUGUUCGGAAUUACUGGGUGUAAAGGGUUCGUAGGCGGUGUGGCAAGUCGGGAGUGAAAUCUCUGGGCUCAACUCAGAGACUGCUUCCGAAACUGCUGUGCUGGAGUGUGGGAGAGGCGCGUGGAAUUGCAGGUGUAGCGGUGAAAUGCGUAGAUAUCGUAAGGAAGACCAGUGGCGAAGGCGGGUCUCUGGACAGUUCCUGACGCUGAGGCACGAAGGCCAGGGGAGCAAACGGG
rnacentral:rRNA from 1 species